GGCUGUCAAGCAUAUCACUAACAAACACAUACACACAUCCAGAUACACUAUCAAUAGAGAGCGAGAGAGAGAGAAGGAGAGAGCAGCAGCAAGUCGGGCCUAAACCAGUUUUCCCACCAAAGCAGAAUCCGAGAGUGAGUAGUAAGUGGUAGUAGUAAGAGGUAGUAACCCAAACGAGUUUGGUUUUAUGUUUAAUGAAUUUAAAGCAGUCACACCUAACGGUUUACCAUAAUAAUGUUUAUUAUUCCCCGAAUAUCCAUCCAAUUGUUUUUAUGACAAUCGAUUAAUCCCAGUUAUCGAGAUCUGUAUCGAGUUACUUUCUCGCACGUCCAUCACUGACACAGAGAGAGAGAGAGGGAGUUAUGUACUGUGUAAUUUCGUAUUAAAUUCUAAUAAAAGAGUGCAGAUUUCUCCCUGUGUAGAAGCACAGGAAAAGCGUAAUGGCAAAAUGGUAAAAGCCAUCCACCAACAACAGUUCCACAAAGCACCAAGGUGGAGAUUGAACCAUCAGUUACAUGGCCAGCCAAGGGAAAGGAAAGGAAAAGGGCGAGAAAGAGAGAGAGAGAGAAAAGGAGAACAAACACAAUAAGAUUUACUGUUAUUUUCAAUGCGACGCUGGAGCUGGAGCUUGGGGCCUGGGGGCCGAAUCAAAAUGGGCACACGCUCCAUUGUGUAUGUGUAUGUGUGAGUGUUUGCGUUCUGUAAUACAAAUUUGACCUUAGUGGUGGAAAACUAAGCUGCGCUGUAGCUGUUAAGCCUGGUAGGCCUGGUAGGGAAUUACACACUAAAUGGCUAUAAUGUUAGAAGGGGGGUUCCCUACGUUGCACAACAACUGUAUGGCCUACACCACAAAACUUUUACCCAAUACAGAUACAGAGGCAACACGAGCAGCCACCAAUGGCCUCAGCGACUUUUACAUUUACAACGUAGCAUGGGGAGUUUUUUUUUUUUUGUGCUCAGCACAAGAGAGCACAACAUGGCAGUGGUGAGUUUGUGGCCUGACUAACAGGAUGGAUGGUGGGGGAGAAUGGGGGGUAUAAGUUGACAUAUGGAGGCGAGGCAAGGCGUCGCUGUCGCGUCGCAGUUGCUGCAUGUGUUUACAUUGGCAUUGCAUUUAAAAACUUACAUAUGUACAUUUUGCUUGGCAUGAGCUGCGCUGCUACUACAAAGAAACCCGAGUGCAAUGUACAAAACAUGUUUGUACGAAUGUUUGGUGGAUUUCCUGCUGUUGUCAUUUAAUUGUGAGGCCAAAACAGCUGUCUGUCACUCUGGCAUCCCGAUCCCCCAACCAACCCACCAUCCUCUCUCUGCAGUAUACACACCACCACCACAACAGUCAGGAGGUGGGCUAAUCAAAAUGUCAACAACAAAAGGAAAAAAAAAAUUCCCCACACAACAAUUGGCAGUCAAACCAAGGAGGCACAAGUGAUGAGAAGCUCUCUAUUUGGCUCUCUCUAUAUAUAUAUAUGUAUGCAUGUGUGUAUGUACAUCUUAUAUACAUACGUACAUACAUACGUCAACAAGCACGCGCGGCUGCUGUGGCAGAAUUUAUUUUGUUUUUUUCUACGAAAUAAACAAGAAUAAAAAGCUGAUGCAUA